rnacentral:rRNA from 1 species
GACGAACGCUGGCGGCGUGCUUAACACAUGCAAGUCGAACGAUGAAGCCCAGCUUGCUGGGCGGAUUAGUGGCGAACGGGUGAGUAAUACGUGAGUAACCUGCCUUUAACUCUGGGAUAAGCCUUGGAAACGAGGUCUAAUACCGGAUACGACCAACCCUCGCAUGAGGUGUUGGUGGAAAGGGAUUUUGUACUGGUUUUAGAUGGGCUCACGGCCUAUCAGCUUGUUGGUGAGGUAACGGCUCACCAAGGCGACGACGGGUAGCCGGCCUGAGAGGGUGACCGGCCACACUGGGACUGAGACACGGCCCAGACUCCUACGGGAGGCAGCAGUGGGGAAUAUUGCACAAUGGGCGCAAGCCUGAUGCAGCGACGCCGCGUGAGGGACGACGGCCUUCGGGUUGUAAACCUCUUUCAGCAGGGGAGAAGCGAAAGUGACGGUACCUGCAGAAGAAGCGCCGGCUAACUACGUGCCAGCAGCCGCGGUAAUACGUAGGGCGCGAGCGUUGUCCGGAAUUAUUGGGCGUAAAGAGCUUGUAGGCGGUUUGUCGCGUCUGCUGUGAAGCCCGGGGCUUAACCCCGGGUUUGCAGUGGGUACGGGCAGACUAGAGUGCAGUAGGGGAGACUGGAAUUCCUGGUGUAGCGGUGAAAUGCGCAGAUAUCAGGAGGAACACCAAUGGCGAAGGCAGGUCUCUGGGCUGUAACUGACGCUGAGAAGCGAAAGCAUGGGGAGCAAACAGGAUUAGAUACCCUGGUAGUCCAUGCCGUAAACGUUGGGCACUAGGUGUGGGGAACAUUCCACGUUUUCCGCGCCGUAGCUAACGCAUUAAGUGCCCCGCCUGGGGAGUACGGCCGCAAGGCUAAAACUCAAAGAAAUUGACGGGGGCCCGCACAAGCGGCGGAGCAUGCGGAUUAAUUCGAUGCAACGCGAAGAACCUUACCAAGGCUUGACAUAUACUAGACCGCCUCAGAGAUGGGGUUUCCCUUCGGGGCUGGUAUACAGGUGGUGCAUGGUUGUCGUCAGCUCGUGUCGUGAGAUGUUGGGUUAAGUUCCGCAACGAGCGCAACCCUCGUUCUAUGUUGCCAGCACGUAAUGGUGGGGACUCAUAGGAGACUGCCGGGGUUAACUCGGAGGAAGGUGGGGAUGACGUCAAAUCAUCAUGCCCCUUAUGUCUUGGGCUUCACGCAUGCUACAAUGGCUGGUACAAAGGGUUGCGAUACUGUGAGGUUGAGCUAAUCCCAAAAAGCCGGUCUCAGUUCGGAUUGGGGUCUGCAACUCGACCCCAUGAAGUCGGAGUCGCUAGUAAUCGCAGAUCAGCAACGCUGCGGUGAAUACGUUCCCGGGCCU